AUUUUAUGUAGGUUAAUCACCUCAAUAUAAAAGAGCACAAUUCAAUCAGUUCAGCCCAAUCCAAUUUAUCGAAUUGUAUAGAAAUACAGAAUUCUUAUCUUGGACAGAAAUUAUUCACAGGCUUCAACAAGGAAAAUGAUUUAUCUAACAUUAUUCAUUUGCUUUAUAAGCUUAUGCUUCUUUGGAUUCGUCCGGCCUCAAAUUUCACUCGGGACACCGGUCAAAAUUACGAAUUAUGGUUCAGGAAAUGCCCUCUCAACUCAGUCAUACCCCGCCGUCCGAGCCUUUAUGGCUGACGGGUCUGCAAAUUUCGCCUGGGUUUAUAAUUCUGACGGGACAAUAACAAACUACGACAGCUCAACGACCGGUGGGACCCGUGGCUGCUUAUCGGACCCCUAUGUUGACCAAUACAUUUACCUGGAACCAUGCAACUCCACAAAUCGUUUCCAGACGUGGGAACUCGUAAAAUCGAAGAGGAAUGGAAUAUAUCAACUAAAAAAUUUGGGGUCAUACACUUGUCUGAGUAAUGACGUGAAGUGGAUCGUAAAAAAGCAAAACUGCGCUGAUGUCGAAGGUGAUCCGUACAUUUAUCAACAAUGGAUUGUUAGUAUCCUCUCGCCAUCCUAGUGAAUAACUUGGUCCUUGCGCAUGUAUCAUUAGUUUUGCAUCUGUUAAAUAAAUAUGUUAGUCAAAUAAAUCACUAAAUACAUACUUGGGAAUAACAACAUACCAAUUUAUGAAGAGUUACA